rnacentral:rRNA from 1 species
GCAAGUCGAGCGGAAACGAGAAUAGCUUGCUAUUCGGCGUCGAGCGGCGGACGGGUGAGUAAUGCUUGGGAAUAUGCCUUAUGGUGGGGGACAACAGUUGGAAACGACUGCUAAUACCGCAUAACGUCUACGGACCAAAGGGGGGGACCUUCGGGCCUCUCGCGUCAAGAUAUGCCUAGGUGGGAUUAGCUAGUUGGUGAGGUAAUGGCUCACCAAGGCGACGAUCCCUAGCUGGUCUGAGAGGAUGAUC